GUGCUCGCUUCAGCAGCACAUAUACUGAAAUUGGAAAAAACCAGAGAUUAUCAUGGCCCUGGGCAAGCAUGACAUGCAAAUUCGUGAAGCGUUCCUCUGCAUG